AGACACAGCGGAGAAGCAGAUCGUGGCUGUGGUGAUGGCAGCUAAGAAUAAGGUUAAGAAGAAGAUGGCGGAGGAGAGAGAAAGGGAAGCUGCUCUCACGGGUAAUGAGAGCAAGACGCUGAAGGAGGAGAAUAAGGCCGAGGUCAAAGAAGAGAAGAAGGUUGAGCUCGAAAAGGAGAUAAAGACCAAAGUCAAGGAGGAGCCGAUGGAGAUCGAGGAGGAAAGUGGCGGCAGAGUUCCAAACAAAGGUAAUGGCCUUGAUCU
rnacentral:misc_RNA from 1 species